rnacentral:sRNA from 1 species
GAUCAGAGGUGCAGCUCUGCUGGAGAGACCUGAGGCUUGCAACGCUGGGCCCGGCCGAGUCGCUGCGGCUGGGCUGGAGGAAGCAUCUAACCAAAAUUAAGUCAAAGGCAUCUACCAGGUCCUGAAUUCUCUCCCAGAUGCACACCUUUUAAGGUCAAGGAUGCAUUCCAGGAAAGUUCCAUAAAAAUAUACCAUCAACUCCAACCUGAUAUUUGACCUAGCUGUGGAAAACCUCAUUGGCUCCUCACUAGAUCAGACCAUAAAAAUGAUUCAGGAAUGAAAAUCUAAGAUAAAUUCCCACCACUUCAAGAUGUUCUUAUACAAGUCAACAGUCUAGCAGAUCAGCCAGUCUCUUUCAUCAUCAAGCAGACAUACUCAAGGUACCAACACAGCAAAGGCACAAAAUGUCUCUAUAUCAGUAUUUUUCAUGGUGUAUGUGAGACCCAUUAGUGAGGCAUGAAAUCAAUUCUGUGAGUCACAAUGAACAUUUUUUUAAAAAACGAAAUAAAAUGUAAAAUACCAAA